rnacentral:rRNA from 1 species
UACGAAGUGGGCUAGCGUUGCUCGGAAUCACUGGGCGUAAAGGGUGCGUAGGCGGGGCUUUAAGUCAGGGGUGAAAUCCUGGAGCUCAACUCCAGAACUGCCUUUGAUACUGAGGAUCUUGAGUUCGGGAGAGGUGAGUGGAACUGCGAGUGUAGAGGUGAAAUUCGUAGAUAUUCGCAAGAACACCAGUGGCGAAGGCGGCUCACUGGCCCGAUACUGACGCUGAGGCACGAAAGCGUGGGGAGCAAACAGG